UACGAAGGGGGCUAGCGUUGCUCGGAAUUACUGGGCGUAAAGCGUGCGCAGGCGGUUGUGCAAGACCGAUGUGAAAUCCCCGGGCUUAACCUGGGAAUGGCAUUGGUGACUGCACGGCUAGAGUGUGUCAGAGGGGGUAGAAUUCCACGUGUAGCAGUGAAAUGCGUAGAGAUGUGGAGGAAUACCGAUGGCGAAGGCAGCCCCCUGGGAUAACACUGACGCUCAUGCACGAAGCGUGGGAGCAAACAGG
rnacentral:rRNA from 1 species